CCGCCGUGUGGGAGGCCGGCUCCCGGCCGGUGAGCAGCCGCCCGGUGGCGGCGUCGGAGACGUCGAGCCGGUUCCACUCCGUGCGGUGCA
rnacentral:tRNA from 1 species